CAAUUAUGAUGUAAAUAUAUAUAUUGAACUUUUUUCAUAUUGCUAAAUAUAUUUCUGUAACAUUUAAUAACUGUAUAGCUACCUUUUUAUGCAUGUAUUAUAAAAUAUUUUUCAAAGUCCUGUUACUCCUUCAGGCUCUGAUUUUUAAUUUUUUUGUUAUAAAUAAUUUAUUAAGGAAUAUAUUGUUGCUAAAUUUGGGUGCCCAGGCUUUUUUCUUUCCUUAGGACAAAUUGCUGGGUCAAAGCAUAAGCAUACUUUUUAAGACCUGUGAUGUGCAUUGCCAAAUUGCUCUCCAGAAAGUUCUAUUUAUGUUUCCAUCAGCAGUGUACAAAAGGUUCUCUUUAUCCACACUCUACUAACAUUGGAUGUCCCUUUUCUAAAAAGUGUUUGACAAAUAAUCAGGAGAUUUAUUUUCUGGGCAUUCUGGUUUCCCAUAAUGGGCUCGUCCAAUAUUACCUAUUUUUUGUUUUUGUUUUUGUUUUGCUAACUAGUAGUGACUGUGUAUCCUGCUUCACAGAGAAAUCUACUUCCUGAAAGCCCGAAGCUAAACAUACUUAGUACAGGAUGGAAAAAGAAAUGGUGGCCAUAGGUAGCCAACCAUUGAGCUGCUCUACGUAAAAUUAGAUUGGCUUUAAAAACAGGUUGUUAUUCUUCAGUUUUUUUAACAACUCGUUUUGAGAUCAAUUCUAAAUGAUAAUCUGGGCAGACAGAAGAUUCUUUUAAUUUUCUCCUAAUAACUUAAUGAAGAUUUACUGUGUAUCGGAGACUGUACUAAAUGCUUUGCAUACAUCGCUUAAUUCUCACACAAAACCUAUGAUGUAAUUUCUAUUGUCCCCAUUUUUAUAGAGCAGUACGAUAUUAUCCCCAGUCACUCAGUGAGUGGUGGUGAAGGGUUAGGGAUGGGCAACUAUACCCAGGUCCCCCGACUCCUGCCAAGUGUGGGGCUGCUUCUGCCACAUGCUGCCACCUUUCCAAUUCUCUUUCUUUUCCAUCCUUCUACAUUUUCAGUAAUUCAUAUCCAUCUUUUAGGGACAAUGGAUCCUAGAAAGAAAGUCAACCAAGAAAAACAACAUGUAUCUUUGAUGUCUCCAACUAAGGCCUUGCUUCCACAAUGUGUGGCUUUACUGCCCACUGUGUAAUUGAGAGUUAUUUUUCCUGCUAGCCUGGUGGUUAGGAGCUACUCCAGGUCCAGGACUAAGGCAAGUGAAGCACAAAAUGUAAGGGGACAGCCACUUUUAGGUGUCUGCCCUGUGCUGGUGGGAAGCUGAGUGUACGUGCGUUGCCUGCGUCACCGUACUCCUGGUUAGUCACACAGCAAAGGCGCUUAUAAGGAAGUCUGGCACCUGAAAUGACAAAGGGAACAGGACCCUCAAAUCCUACCCAACGAAACUUUCUUUGUAGAAAAGAUGCUUCAAGAGGAUGGCUUCAUUCUAUGUGGCAGGAAACAUAAAUGGUUUUCUCUCCGGUAUGACACCUAUAUAAUCAAGAUUGCUAAUUCAGAACCAAAAAAUCCUGUUUUUAGAUACCAUGGAAUGGCAGUUCUGUCCUCAAAUUAAUCUUGGCUCAGUUCUUUUUUCCUGUCUUCACUGAAAUUCUCUUGAGUUUACCACACCAAAGCUUCCAAGUCAUUUAAAGCAACUUCCCCACACAAAGAACAUAACUGAAUUUGUGGUAGUGUCAGGUUUUAAGGACGAUCAGGGACAGUAUUUGAAACCACAGAUCACAACUUUCAUAGAGUUGUCUUCAUCCUGUGAUGGCAUCUUCUCACAAAGCAUGGCAGUUUACUGCUAGGGUGGGUUCCUGGGUCUGAUUGUCCCUACUUCCCAAAUUAAUCUCGUUGUAUGCUGAAAGACUUGGGAUACUUUCUAGCAGGGGUGGAAUAGAGGGAAUUUGUGCACAUACUCAUUUUCUGAAGAAGGGUGCUUCACCAAAGCAGCUUUGUAAUCUUGCAACCCUCUAUUUCUCCAGCGGUUGGAGUGCUGGGACCAGGGAGGCACUGAUGUGUAGCUGGAGAAAUGCAAUCCACUGUUGGGAAGCAUAAGGGAAAGGAGCUGCAGACUGAGGCAUCUUGGAGAGAGGCUGUUAGAAAUGGCUGGUAGCAUAGAGCGAAUUUCCCAAGGAUAAGGCAGCCAGUAGAGAAUGUGUUGGUACUCUGGAAUAUGCAAGGUCUUGAAGGAGCCAUCUUGGUUUUGGUGUCUGGGGUCAAUUCAAAGGCUAGAAAUCACGUAGCAAAAAAGCCCCUAUAGUCUAGUGUGAGCUAUAACACAAACCAGCAAGAUAACGGACCACAGCAAAGUCUCACUACAUUAAGAGGUGGAUCAGUUAGUUAAGGUUCAGAAUUGGAAGUAAGGCAGAGGUUUGAAUGCAAGUUCUGCCAUCUAGGAGCUGGGUGACCUUAGAAAAGUCUCUUAACCUAAGUAUGAUUCCUCACCUGUAAAAUGGGCUCCUGCUUAACUCCUAAGGUGGUUGUGAGUACUGAAGUCUGUAAAGAGUACUUGCUGCAUCCAUAACUAUAACAGCAGCAGCAACAACAAAACUGGAACACAGAGUAGCACCUGGUAAUAGGUUAAAGCCUUCUGCAGACCCCGCCCAUAUGUAAGCACGAGUAGUUUAAAGUUUACCAGUUAUGAAUAAGCAGGUCAGCUUAUUUUUGAGGGUAUAAUUUGAAAAGUAAUAAUUGGGGGAGAGAGGAGGACCCAGGCUACAAUUAGGUACCCUUCAAAGAAUAAACCAUCUCCAUCUUACUCAGCUGGGGAGAUGUAAACAUUAUGGAGCUAAUUUUUUCAUAUUUCCAAGGCCUAUGAUAAAUCCUAAUUAAUCACCACCUUGUUUCUUAGGAAACUUCACCCGAGGUACAUGGAACUUUGUAGUUUCUUCCUCAGGUCCUAUGUUACUGCCCUAGGCACCUGGAGGCACUAUCCCUGGGACGUCUGUCAGGACUCAGAGGGACUCUGGCGUGUAGCCACUGCUGCCAAGCUCUAGCACAGGCCUGAGCUUCCCGGUUCACUAUACCAAGAGGAUUAGAAGAUGUCAGCAUGAGGUCACCUGGGGGAUGACUCAACCUUAUCUGGGGAGGAUAAAAAAGUAAAUGAAAAGAAACUGAUCGUUAGUCACUUGGACUACCCUACACAUGCCACCACAGCCGAGAGACAGAGCCCUGACCACUUCAUGGAGGCCUCUUACCAUUGGCUGGGCACCGGCUAUGACAGUGCAACACCUACCACGCCCCUCUGCUAUUUCCAUUAGGAGUAUUUUCCCCUUCCUGGAAUGAGCUUUCAGACACAACCCUGGAUUCCCAGCAGUUCUUACUGUACAGGGAUUUUCAGAAUCAAUAUGGGCAAUCUAAACGUGGUUUGGGUUUAACGCAGAUAAUUAGAUUCCAUGAGCUGUGUCUCAUCACUGCUUUUCCAGUGCCAAAAACAUAGAAGGUGCUAAAAAUAAAUAAAUAAAAGAACGAAACAUACCAGGAAAAGUAAAGUCAGAGUCUUCCUGCUUUCUGAUCAACAUUCAGCACCAACUGUGAUUAGACCAGCCACGAAAUUAUAGGUCUUAGGUAAUUUUCUUGCUACUGCCCUGGAAUCAAACAAUGUGCUAUGAACUACAAGUUUUAAUCAAAUCCCUUAGGUGGGAAGAAAACCUUCUCCAGAAUCCAGCCAAGCCCCCAAUUUUGGAAAGAUGAGGCAUUGCUAAAUGCAUUAAAUAAUAUUUUACUUGGUCUGAAGAUGACCACCUCAAGCUCUAAGAUUACGGGGUGCUAGGAAUGGGGGAGCCGAACCUGAACCACAGCGCUUCAGUUGUGAAGGAAGUGGGCAAAGGCUCCAUGGCUAUUCGCAGACUUUCCCUGGCUGUUUUAGUGCCUCAUCCUUCCCUCCAGCUCAGUCACACAACCGCCACACUUUCAAAACCUGCUGGCCAAGAGACUCAAGGUUUCUUGUUUUUUUGUUUUUGUUUUUUUGUGGGGACAGAAGAAGGCCAUUGUUCCUGGCCUAAAAAGUGGAAGAACUAAAGGCUGGCUGCUUUAUGCAGAAUAACAAGCACACUUCUAGUUCCUCUUCACACAGACUUCUAGACUAAAUAGCAAAGACUAGACCUCAGCUUGCAAAGGAAAUUUACUAAGGACAGGAAGGAAACAAGACCAUCUGUUAUUGGUACCGCCCCCAGGAGGGACACCACACUUAGCCUCCUUGGGAUCAUAAUCAAGAAGCUCAUUCUAAAGGUGUGAAAUACCCUCUCUCUGCAGACAGUCGACAGGCUUAGUAUCUGAUAAAUUCGGGCUCCACAGGGGAUCCCUGAGGAGUGUGCACUGAGGGUGCUCGUCCUGGUGCAGCACAGGAAUGGGUGGCGUGACGGGUGGAGGAGUAGGAUGCUGUAGGGUUUCACAGGCUCUAAAUACCUUCAGGCCAGUGAUAGUCAAGGAAUUUUGUCAUCCUACACACACCACCAUUCCCUAAACACCACCACUCCUAUCCGUGCUGACUGCUUGGACACUCAUCCGAGUUCAAAUGUCACCUCUAAGCAAAACGUGUCACACUUCCUGCCGGAAUGUUACCGUGUGUGUGCUCCCACUGCCCUGUGCGCUUCCCUCUUUAGCACACUGUUAUUUUUGUAUAUUUUUUAACAGCUAUUUACUGAGUUACCUACUAAGUGCCAAGCAUGAUUCUCAGCCCUGAGGAUAUAGCAAUACCCUAGCAGGACUCUUGAGUCCCUUGAGGGCAGAAAAGUUUUAUUCCUCUUGGUAUACGUUGCACUUUUGUCAUGUCACUUACCAUAAACGUGAUGGGUGUGUCACCGUUAACCUUGGGGAAAAAUGGUCAAGAGUUCAACGUGUUUCUGGCUUUGAAAUAGCCAUCGACUCAUUUAAGAACCUAGAAGGAGACUAUCAAACAUCCAUUCCCCUGUCAACAUAUCAGAAAAAUUAUCACCCUGUGGUGUUUCUCUCUGUCAGGUCUACCCUAAAUCUUUAUUAUUUCCCAAAUCAUCUUCCAUGCUGACAGCUGGAAGUCAUUUUGGUAGCCUCUAAUAGGUCAUCUGUUGUUAGGUAGGGACAUUCUCUCUCUCACAUACCCCAAGGCAAAUUGUCCAGUACUAUUAGGUUGUGGUUGGAGGAAGGCACACCAUAUACAGACCACAUUCAGUUCCCCAUCCACGGAAUUUGCCAUCAAGCUCUUCUCUUCCCGAAGGUCCUGGUAUGAACCUGUACACUUCUCAUGUGCAGGGACUCUGGACACACACUCGUGAGCUUCAUCUCAGUCACCAAAACAAAGCUAAACUAGGUUCCUUAUACACUUUUAAAAAGAAGAGGUGCAACUUAGAAUUUCAUGGGGGAAAAAGUUUAAAUAAAAAUUAUAACAACUAAAUGCUUAACCAGCUGUGGGGAAAACUAUCCAGAACAAUGAAUAGUUUUUACUAUUCAUUGUAAGUUUACUAGUCAUUUACUAUUCACAGUAAGUGUUACUGUGACAUAAUAUACAUUUGUCCCAUAAUAAAACAGCGUUAGUUCCAAGGCCUAGAUGCUUCAAAGUGUGUAUUUUUGGCUCAUAGGAGCUCCCAUCUGAUGGUAAACUUGUUGACCGAGGUAAGGAGUGUGUUUCCUGUUCUUUUGCUUCUACGACUCCAUCCAAACUCCACACAAGUGCUUAGGACGCAGUCCUCUACACAUACUGUGCUGUUGACCCACUUCACGUGUCCUUUCUGAUUCCCAUUUCCUUUCUAGUCUUCACAUCUUUGGAACCCUUUGGAAAGGUCUUCCAUGGUAAAAAGGGUAGAUUCCAAGUAAAGGUGACAUGGAAUUGAAGCUAUAAACAUCGUCCCCCAAUUUUAUACAGUCAAAACUAAUACUUUAAGUAAAGCUGGAAGUUUGUGCAGGUGAUUAGACCUUUUUAAUAAUCAUCCUGAGUCUUAUUAUAAUACCAAUGGCAGCAGUUAAUGCUUCUGAGCACUGCGAUGUGCCAUGCACUGACCAAGCACUUUAAAUAGAACUCACUUAGUCCUUGUAACAGUCUUACAAGACAGAUACUAUGAAUAUCCUCAUUUGAAAAAUGAGGAAACUGAGACACAGAUGGAUUAAGUAAAGUUAAACAGCUAAUCGGUGGAGCUGGGACUCAAAUCCAGGCAGCAUGGCGCCAGAGUCC